rnacentral:rRNA from 1 species
GAUUAACGCUAGCGGCAGGCCUAAUACAUGCAAGUCGAACGGGAUUUCGGGUAGCAAUAUCUGAAUGAGAGUGGCGCACGGGUGCGUAACACGUAUGCAAUCUACCUCUGACUGGGGAAUAGCCUUCCGAAAGGAAGAUUAAUACCGCAUAAAAUAAUGAAGUGGCAUCACUUUAUUAUCAAAACUCUGGUGGUCAGAGAUGAGCAUGCGUCCGAUAGCUAGUUGGCGGGGUAACGGCCCACCAAGGCGACGAUCGGUAGGGGUCUGAGAGGAUGAUCCCCCACACUGGUACUGAGACACGGACCAGACUCCUACGGGAGGCAGCAGUAAGGAAUAUUGGACAAUGGUAGGAAACACUGAUCCAGCCAUGCCGCGUGAAGGAU